CGUCAAAUCAUCAUGCCCUUUAUGUCUUGGGCUACACACGUGCUACAAUGGCCGUAACAAAGAGAAGCGAAGGAGCAAUCCGGAGCGGAACUCAAAAAAACGGUCCCAGUUCGGAUCGUGGGCUGCAACCCGCCCACGUGAAGUCGGAGUUGCUAGUAAUCGCGAAUCAGCAUGUCGCGGUGAAUGCGUUCCCGGGCCUU
rnacentral:rRNA from 1 species